AUAGUAUAUGAGGGUAUUUUAUUGUCUUUUCUAAAUAUAUAAACACCAAAAACACGGUCAUCAUCACUUUCUCAUCUCUACAACCCACUUCAUUUCAAAACCCUAACACCAAACCUACCAUCACCGCUCCACCAUCACAUCUGUAAAGCACACACAGGUUAGGGUUCUACAGAGAGGAGUAAGAGCGACAGAUUACAGAGGGGAGAGCGGAGCGACGGUGAUGGAGGCACCGACCGUCGUCUCCUGCUGGCCAACCAGCUGUUAGGACGGUGGUGAUGAUAUGGUGGUAUGCCGCAGCGUUGGGGACGGAGCCAUCUCCAUCUCCAUCUCCAUCUCCAUCACCACAUCGACCACCGCCCUCCAUCAUCGUCCUCAACCCCAAACGCCGUCGCACCCCGCCACCCACUCCGUCGCACACAUCCGCCUCCAACCAACCUCCAUCUCCAUCACCACUUCCCCGUCGCUGGUUCUCACCACCACGCCCUCAGCUGUCUUCUCCAACCACACCGGAACCACCACGCACCAUCGUUCGCUCUCAUCUUCGUCGCCGGUCUCCGAUAUCAGCGGAGAAAAAAGAAAAAGAAUCAACAACUCCUGCUGCUCCUACAAUUGAACGGCCUGUACGGCAACGGAAGUCUGUAGAACGACUGGUUGCUGUCAUUAAGAGAGACAAUACCAAUUACCAAGGAAUUCCAUAUAUUAAAGGGUUGUGGUACAGCACUGAAAGAUAUUCCCAAUGUUGCAUACAAGUUAUCAAAGAGGAAGGCGAACGAUGACACUCUCAAACUGCUCCAUACUAUCUUAUUUGGGAGGAGAGGAAAGGCUUUGCAGGUCAAGAGUAAUAUCUUGCAGUUUUCUGGCUUUGUCUGGCCUGAUAAUGAGGUAAUAAUGAGGAGCUCAUGGAUUUGUUUGAUGGUGCCUAGUGGAGACUCCUAGAAGGUCACUUGUUCUUAUAUUACUUUCACAUAAACAUUAUUAACUAUAGGCUUUUUCUCUCAUCUACUAUCAUUAAACCCAAAACGUAUUGGUGAUAUCUGAGACAUAACAUUCCUUAUAUUCUUGUAUCUGGUGCGGACAAAUUAGACCAAACCAAUGUGCCAUUUGCUCCACCAUCGAUAUUGUUUGUAGUAAUUACACAUCAAAUUACUUGAUGUGCUUACAAUUACACAUUAAAUUCACACUAUUUUAUCCUGUUAUUUUGUUGUUUCCUUAUAUAUUAUAGUAAGUUAGUUGUCACACCUCGAUCCGCAGUGGAUUAUUGAUCGGAACGAGAUGAUUAUUCAUAGCUCAUGAUAACUAUUAUAAAUUUACAUAUUUAAAGCAUAACCAGAAUAAAUGUCAUGCAUAAUAGAAAAAUAUCAAAUAGUUCAUACAAUACCAAUGUAAUAAACAUAACAAAAACUAUCAAAUUUAUUAACUUAGGCACAUCCUAAGUGUCUUCAUCUUUAACUCAUCUCAAACUUGUGUACCUGUAUCAUGCGUAAAAAUGUUUUUAGGUCAAUAUAAAGUUUGUGAAUAGAUCUAAGUUUUUUUUUUAAUAAAAUAUUUUACUUUAUUAAUUUUUAAAAUAAAUUAACAUGCAAUUUCAAGUAAAUAUAAAACAUCCAUAUCCAUCCAACAAAACCAAUAAUCACCAGAACCAAAUACGAUAAUGAAACAUGAUCUUAUGAAACAAUAUGAGAUUCAAGCCCCGAAGAGCGAAUCUAAGUAAUAGUCGCGAUACCUAGUUCAACCCAUGGUCGUGGGGAACCAGUCAGCCAGUGGAUCCACAUGAAACAAUAUGACACAAAGCGAGUAACAAGUAGAUACAUGUACAUGACACAAUGGACACAAGUAAACGUAACACAUAACACCACUUUGAUUUGCAUGUUGAUGAUAAGAAGCAAAACUAACAUUUGACACAUGAUACACCCCAAAAUAAUUUAAUAACAAAAAGGGAGAAAAUAGAUCUACUCACAGUUUUGCGUUCUUUUGAUCCAUUCGUAAACUACACGAGUAUUGAGGGAAAACUCUAAAAGACAAUAAUCACCCUAAAGAAAUAAAUAACAACCAAAUUAAUAAACUCUAUAACUUAGGGUUUUUGUCUAACCUAAACUAUAUAUAAAAUAAUACUAACCUAACUACUAAAUUAAUAUUUGUAACUAAAUAACUAAUGUGACAUAUUAAAAAUGUUAACCAUUAAAAUGCUUAUGUCUACAUUUUAAUAUGAUAGUAUACUAAUUCUAAAAAUCCUUUUAACUUCCAAUAUCUAUAAUUUAGUCCAAAAUAUUAAAUUCACAAAUAAAAAUCUAAUAUUGUGGAAAUAAAGUGACAAGACAAAAUAAUAAAAAAAUACGUCAUUAUAAGUUAAAAUAUUAAUUCAAUCAAUUAAGUAGUGGGAUUUAGAACUAGUAGAAUUUUUCCGGAAGUUAAGUAAUAGGAUCAAAAUGGUGAAAAGAAAGAAAACUCAGGAAGUCAUAGAAAAGAAAAUUAUUUAAACUAAAAUGAAAUACUCUUUAGAAAAUUUCCCUUAAAUGAACCUUUAGGCCCCAGGCCCAUAAAACCCAUACGUUACACAAGCCCAUAAACCCAACCGGUCUACUAAAACCCUAACCCUAAUCACACUCCUUUUGCACAUCCAACCCUAUAUAUCCACCACACCGCCAUUGCAUCAUCAUUCAGCACUCUUCUUUCUAUCUUCUCUGAUUUCAUUUCUUCAUCCAAUUGGUAAUCACUUCUUCAUUUUCCUCUUCUGUAUUCAUUUCCUUUCGAAAUUAUUAUUAGUGCAGUGAUGAAGCAUAUAUUGUGGACUAGAGUUUCUGAUAUUGGGCUCUUCUUCCCAUUUUAUUUUGACGACAAACCCUUGGCUGUCUGAGCACUGUACCUUUCAUCUUAUUCAUAAGCUUUCCACUGAUUUUUUAAUAUUCUUUUUAUAAAAUUAGGUUAAGAGCUAAUGAUGAGAAAUACAAUUAUCUUAGCGGAUUUCAGUGAGAUUACUUUUAAUCAAUGAUCUGAUUGUUACACACACUGAAGCUCUUCAAUCUCUUUUUUAUUUAUUUUUUUGUAUGAGAUGGAAUGUAAAUAAUAAUAGCAGUGAUGAGGCAAAACACAUGAGGAUGUGUUAAGGGAAGUGGACAAGACGAUUAAAACCGUUUUGCCGUGAUCCUCAAUUUAAACGACUUCUCCUUCCACUGAGCUUUUUUUUUUAUUUAUUUUCAUUCCAACUUUUAUUCAAAUUUACAUGUUUUUGUCUAAUUUGUUUUACACAUAUAUAUGUAUAUAUUAUUGAAGAGAUAUGCGGCGUCCAUUUACCAAUUCUGGAGGAUAAGUUGGUUCCUCACGGUGUAAUGGCUCGGACGCCAUAUUAAUAUUUGUGGCCAUCCUGAUCAAUGGGUCCUCAAUACCAUUGCAUCCUGGAAACACCUCAUACAUUUUUAAUUUUCAUUCAAUAUGAAAUCAAUUGUAACUAGCUAUUGCUCUAAAUAUGUUAAAGAUCCUAAAAAAUGUUAAUGCCACUAUGCCAAUUGGAUGUCAACACUAAUAGUCUUAAGCGAAGCUAGAUUAAAAUACAUCAGUGAAAUAAGUUUUAACCUAUGUAAAAGUUAGUGGUUAUGGUUGUGCUUUGGUAUUUUAACUGCUUGUAACCGGUUGACGACAUUGUUGAAGAUAUUAAAAUGUUGAGCAACUGUGGUUUUAGUAACAGAUUUGUUUAGAAAAGUGUAAAGAUUUAAGCCUUUUAGGGUAUAAGGAGUGGUUAAACACUUUAAAGUGGCAAACCAAAAAACCGACCAAUGAGAGCACGCCAUGUCAAUUAGGCAAAAGUGUUUAAAUUUUGGUGAAAAAUGUUGGCAAUGGUUUAAACACUUGGUGAAGUGGUAAACUAUUUUUUUUUAAAAAAAGGAAAAAUGUGUGAUUGGUUGAGAUAGGAAUGGACCCCACCCACAAUACCCUCCCUCUCUCUCCUUCUCCCUCUUCUCGAAUCGGUAAUCCAUCACCGAUUUUGCUCCUUUGCCGCGUCCCAAGUUUGCCGGCCGUGGUGUUUGCCGCUCGGCAAACACGUUUGCUGUUGAUUGCCACAUGCCACUCCGUAUCCCCUUAGGUUGUAUUGGACCUCUGUGUUACUUGCCACCCUAUGCUAAUUAUAGGCCAGGGUAAAGAUGAAGAAAUCAAUGUAGUUGAAGAUAGCAUGCCGAAUUUGUUGUGUUUUUUGUGUUUUUAUGUAUGUUGCUAAAACAAUCUGAUAAACACUUGCAAGGUUUGUAUGGAA